rnacentral:rRNA from 1 species
GACGAACGCCGGCGGCGUGCUUAACACAUGCAAGUCGAGCGGUAAGGCCCUUUCGGGGGUACACGAGCGGCGAACGGGUGAGUAACACGUGGGUGACCUGCCCUCAGCUCUGGGAUAAGCCUGGGAAACCGGGUCUAAUACUGGAUAUGACUCCAUGACGCAUGUUGUGGGGUGGAAAGCCUUGUGCGGCUGAGGAUGGGCCCGCGGCCUAUCAGCUUGUUGGUGGGGGAUGGCCUACCAAGGCGACGAC